GAUGAACGCUGGCGGCGUGCCUAAUACAUGCAAGUCGAGCGAACAGAUAAGGAGCUUGCUCCUUUGACGUUAGCGGCGGACGGGUGAGUAACACGUGGGUAACCUACCUAUAAGACUGGAAUAACUCCGGGAAACCGGGGCUAAUUCCGGAUAACAUUUAGAACCGCAUGGUUCUAAAGUGAAAGAUGGUUUUGCUAUCACUUAUAGAUGGACCCGCGCCGUAUUAGCUAGUUGGUAAGGUAACGGCUUACCAAGGCAACGAUACGUAGCCGACCUGAGAGGGUGAUCGGCCACACUGGAACUGAGACACGGUCCAGACUCCUACGGGAGGCAGCAGUAGGGAAUCUUCCGCAAUGGGCGAAAGCCUGACGGAGCAACGCCGCGUGAGUGAUGAAGGUCUUCGGAUCGUAAAACUCUGUUAUUAGGGAAGAACAAAUGUGUAAGUAACUGUGCACGUCUUGACGGUACCUAAUCAGAAAGCCACGGCUAACUACGUG
rnacentral:rRNA from 1 species